CUGUCCAUGAAAACUCAGAGCAAGAAAAGAGGAUAAAAGUGCUGAAAAAUGGCCAGGGACAUACUCACUAGAGGGGAUCAGGAAUGAGUUGUGUUCAGGCAAUAGUAGAAGAUCUCAGCAAGAACAAUUGUGACACAGGCUAUACUUAGUAUUGGGGUUCCAAGCUCAGCAGUGGGGGCAUAGCAGGACUGAGAGGAGAUCUUCCUUGUGAACACAGAGCUUAGUCAUAGGAAUGGGCUGUGCAGAAGGAUUC
rnacentral:lncRNA from 1 species